ACAAGUCCUUCCCUGAGAGCCAGAGAGCUUGCUCGCCAUCGGGAUGUGAGCUGCGGCAGGAAGGAUGUCAGCACAGGCCCGCUGGGCCUCACGACCCUCCACCUGCGGACGUCGCUCUCUGAGGGAGGACGCACACCCCCCGUCCCCGCCAGGUGAUUUUCCUUUCGGCUUUUCCUACCCUGCCGUCCACCUCUGCACCCACCCCCGGCCCCAAGCACAAACACUGUGAUUAAAAAGGGAAAAAAACUGGCUAGGAACCGAGAGACACUUUCUGAAGUAAAUGCGAAACCACAAGAGGCCGGGCCGAGUGCCCGCGCGCGCGCUGAGACGCCCGAGGCGACGCCCGCGGACCGGGCUGGCGUGACACCCGCGGCCACAGCCCUCGGGCGCCUCACGACACCGGGCGGAGAGCUGCGAGGACUCGAUCACGUGAAGGAAAGGCAGGCCUGAGGCAGAAACUUGGUAAGAGACAGAAGCCUUCAGAAGUGAAAACCCGCAAUGAACAUUGGGGGUUGGGCCCCAAACCUCAGAGGGAUGGUUGGUGGAGGGAGGCCGUCAGGCAGGCAGACAUCUCCACUUCACGUUCUGGAGGUCUGAAAUGUUUGCUAAACAAAGAGCAUGUAUUUGUUUUACCACGCGCACAUAGAAGGAUUAUGGAAGAUGCAUUAUGCCUAUCAGCUACUGCAUAAAAGAAAUUAAAUUAUAGCCCGAAGAAAUUAUAAAAAAAGAGCAGAGAAACCAGAACCGAAGGACCUGAAUGCCCCUCUCAACUUUCUGCUUCUCAGAUUAGUCACGUGAAAAAUGGAGACAUUAUAAUACUUACCAGCUGCGGUCACCCCAGGAAGAUUACACGAGAUGGUAUGGUAUGAAAAUGGGUAGAUCUUUGGGCAAAGUCACCCAGCAGGUUAGCAGCAGAGCCGAGACAAGAAGCUCCCAGUAUGCGAGGAUACAGUGAGAAGAUAGCAGUCUGCAACCCAAAAGAGGGACCUCACCAGAACCCAGCCAUCCUGGCACCCUGAUCGUAGACUUUCAGCCUCUAGAACUGUGAGGGAUAAGUUUCUGUUGCUUAUUGACCACCCAGUCUAUGGCAGUUUGUUAAAGCAGCCAGAACUGACUAAGACAGUAGGUAAACUUGACAGAUGUGGUGAUGGGAAUUUUAACCUCUAACGACCUAUAAUGUCUGAGUACAGCUUUCUAGUCCAAAGAAUUUAGCAAUACUGUGAAGUCAACAGACUAAAAAAAUUUUAAAGGAACUUGUAUGUAAUCUAGUCAUCUUUCCUUCCUUCUUUUAAUUUUGAACUCCCUGGAAAAAGUUGUUGGUCCUAAAUAAAAUUGAAGUAUUGAAUCAGACACAUUCUUUUUAAUGUAGAUUUUAUAAAAAGAAACACUUUUAACUUCUGAGGAAAUACUCACAAUUUAAAAAAUAAUAAUAAAUAAAAUGUUUUUAUUGUUAGACAAUUGUCAGGAUUCAGCUGGAACACAGUGUAAGGAAUGUACGAACUUCAGCUGUCCAUAAUGUGGAAAAGGUGAAACGUUCAAGGCAGCAGAUCUGGCCUUGGGAGCUGAUGGAAGUGACUUAAUCUCUUGGAAUCUGAGUUGCUUUAGCUGCUAAACCAAGGAUAACCUCUGCCUUUACAGGACUGGUGUGAGCUUUAGAUGAGAUAAUAUAGGGAAAGCUGUUGGUAUAAAAUAGCUAUUCAAAAAAUUGCAGUUAUCAUUAUUAAAUCUAUCAUUUGAGCUUUUUCUGAGGACAAACAUAUUAACUGAUAAAUUUCCUCCAUUUACAUAACUAGAGGGGGAAUCGGGGCAGGCACAUGGGGCUGCUCUCUCUCUGUACUAUUUUUGGAACUUCAUGUGAAUCUAUAAUUAAAGUAAAAAGUUACAGUGAAUUUCUUCUGUCUAGAGUUCUAUGGGAAGUACCUGUACCUUCCUACCUAGUGCAACGGCAGGAUUGCUGUUAUCAUUCAUUUGAAUGAUAAUGAAAUCCUGCUAUUCAUCUUAGGAGUGGAUGUUGCACUGAAAAAAGCAUUGAAACUAUGAAUCCAAGUACUUGAGACAACUUACUUCACAAUCAAGGCAUCUGUAAAAUUAGGAUAUAUAUUUAAUCUCUCUCAGCUCUAUGAUUUUCUAAGUCUUAUGGUACAAAGCAACAGUUAAUUCAAAGAAAUAUAAACUACCAACCUUUGCUAAAUAAAUAUGCUAAGAAUGAUUAAAGAAUAAAUAUUUACUUACUGCAUAGUAUAACUUAACAUAGUAUAAAGGGAGAAAUUAAAAUAUUAUAUACAUGUUAAGAUUAUUGUACUUAAAAUGUUAUAUAAAUCCAAAUUUUUAUAUUUAAAAUAUUAUAUGGAUUCAAAAUGUGAAAUCAGAUGCCUACCUACAGAGCUGGGUACAUUUUUGAUCACAAAAAAAUGCACUAUUGUCAAUCUACAUGUUAAAUACUAAUAAAGUUUGAUUUCUUAAUUUAGAUUAAAAUAGAGAUAGUCUAAUAAUUUCUUCCCACAUUCCAACUGCUUGAGGGGUCAGAUUUGUUAUAGGAAAUUUCCUUGUCUAUAUUCUGGGACUACACCGGUUGAAAUCUCUGUUCUGAUCAUUGUUGCCGUAAUCACAAUUUAACGUUAAGUUCUCUGUUAGCAGUAUGUUUCAGUGGUAGAUAUCAGAGAAAGUCUAUGCUAUAAAAUGUCUUACUGUUUUUCAUCAUUUAGGAAUAAUCUCAGGACUAAGAACUUCAGGUCUUUUAAAAAGUAUUGAUUUUAUGUAAAAAAUACCCAAAUUUUUGAAAAAUACUAAUUUCUAAAGCAGUGUUAUUUCUGUAGAGAAAGAAUAACUAUAUAGGUUGAUUUGUAAAUUAUGUAUGGCAUUUUGUAUGGAACUGGUUUCUGAUUAUUUUACUCUCUAAAUGGUGACUCAAAUGCCUUAAAUACAAAGUAGUUUGGAUAAAGGGAAAAAGUGGCAGGAAACAUGUUUGAAUGUUUGAAUUAGAAAUCAAUCCUGUUGCAUGAAUCAACUCUAAACUUGUUGAAUGAUGAAUUUUAGCUUUGGUGGUGAUCAGAAGGAAAGUCUUUUCCUGAACAGAAAAAUAACAGUGAUUUUUUUUUUUAAUGCAGACUCAGUAUUAUGCUGCUUUGCCACAAGGAAAAGAGGAAGCUGAAACGUGAUUGAUCAGAACACAGGAAAAGGUGAUUUGAAGCCUUUUUGGAUUAGGUAUCAAUCACACUUAAAAGAUGUGUUUAUCCAGGCUGUCAGGCCGAAGAGAACUGGUACAAACCAUUCAAAAUGUUUAUGUUCAUGUUUUUCAAUGCAGUUCAAUGCAGUAAGCAUAUGUGAGGAACUAAAGGCCCAUAAUCAACAUUAAUUUGAUUCCACAACCAUUUCUUAAGCAUUUUGCGGUACAGAAAUUAAUAAGGCAUGAUCUGUGCCCUCCAGAGUUUCACAAUCUAGUGAGAUAUCAUCACAAAUCAUUGUUAUAUUAAGAAGGUAUGUUUAGUGAUAACCCCACCUCAUCUGACUACUUUCUUUAGUCUGGCCACCCUCUCCCUUAAAUACUGUUAAAGAAGUGCCUUCUGAUUAUCCUUUUCAAAUCAAAACUCCAAGCUGUCCUUUCAGUUAUGGUUAUGUCAUAGUUUAUAUUAAAAGGCCAAAGGAUAGCUGGUUGUUUGGGGCGGGGGGAGUUUAUCUUACGCACCACCAUGCAUAAAAGCAAAUAAAUGCAAGCCUCCUUCUGGGGCUCAGAGGACUAUACUCUGAUGAUAGACAUAAAAGUCUGCCAAAUAUAGCAGCUGCAGUAAAAGCAGCUAGACAUUCUGGAAUGAUGCUUAUCCAAUACAAAGGCCAGACCAAACGAAAGACUGACAUGGUCAUUCUAGGUUGAAAUCUCGGUUAUUCCAUCUGGCUGUGCUACUUUAGGCAAAUCAUUUAAACGUUGAACCUGUGUCCUCAUUUAAGCGCCAGCGUGAAAGCAAUCAGCUCACUUCAUGGGAACAGCUAGUAACCGUGGAGCAUUUUACCAAAACCCACUCAGGCCAACGUAAGUGUAGUAAAGUGGGAGAAACCACUGCAAGUUACAAAGCUGUAAUGCAUUUUACUAAAAUCUAAGGCCAGAAGAAGUGCAGUGUAAUAUAAGAAACUACUUCAAAUUGGAGAGUGUGGUUGUUCCAGAAGACCUUGUUCGCAAGGUAACUCAGAUCACCCGUUCAGCCUCAUCACUGUUUAUUUCAGCCUUUGUAGAAAGGUAAAGGACUUCAGCCCCAUGGCAUUGAGGGGAAAGCAGGGAAGCCACGUGAAGCGAUCCGAGCUCCCUGAUAGUGGGACCACUAGAAAAGCUGGGAUAGGCUGGAGAGAGGGAGUGUGGAAACGGUUGCUGCAGCAGCAUCCCUAGGCCUCAGCCUUCCGGGUCAGGUAUCACCAAAUUCCCAAGACUUUGGGGACCGGAACCCUGGAGGUGGGGGCGUCCCACUGGAGAAUCCCGGGAAAAGGGCGGAGAUGGACCCAGCCAGGGGUGCGGUAUUCAGUUCUAGGGAUCCGCUUGGAGCCGAGAGGGAGUCGGCGAGAAAGGGGCGGGGGCGGCAGUGGGCAGCCGGGAGGAGAGGAGGGGCGAGACGCCGUCGUCGGCCCCCUCCCCUCGCCUCCGGUGCGCUCCCCUCGUGCGUGCUCCCCUCCUCUCCCCUCCCCGGCAGGGCAACCGAGCGCAUCCCGCCGAGGCCAGGCCGCUGCAAGGGGAGGCGCCAACUCGUCGCAGCGCCGGGCCCCCGACCGAGCAGUAACGGCGACCCAGGAGGCGGGGCGG